CAACUGUUCGGCACCUGGGAAUAAGAUGUAUAUGCAUGAUAUAACACAAAGGAAAGAACAAACGAAACUCAAGACGGAUGAUCAAAAUGUGAAUGCUUCACUCCUUCUUUAAAUGAGGAAAAAGAAUACCCUUGGCAGGGAAGGGAGAGGCAAAGAUUAAAACAGAGACUGAAGGAACACCCAUUCAGAGCCUGCCCCACAUGUGGCCCAUACAUAUACAGCCACCCAAUUAGACAAGAUGGAUGAAGCAAAGAAGUGCAGAUCGACAGGAGCCGGAUGUAGAUCGCUCCUGAGAGACACAGCCAGAAUACAGCAAAUACAGAGGCGAAUGCCAGCAGCAAACCACUGAACUGAGAAUAGGUCCCCUAUUGAAGGAAUCAGAGAAAGAACUGGAAGAGCUUGAAGGGGCUCGAGACUCCAUAUGUACAACAAUACCAAGCAACCAGAGCUUCCAGGGACUAAGCCACUACCUAAAGUCUAUACAUGGACUGACCCUUAAUGGCUGAGCCAUCUCCAUUUUCUUCUUUUUUAAAAUUAAACCUAAAAAAACCUGGA